rnacentral:misc_RNA from 1 species
AAGUCGUAACAAGGUUUCUGUAGGUGAACCUGCGGAAGGAUCAUUACUUAUAUUAGGCUGGGGAUCCCAAGGACGCUCCCCUACUUCUUUGAAGUAGGCGUGUUCUUGCCCGUCUGCCUGAAUAUUAUACCCGUGCUCUUUUGCUGUACUACUUGUCUCCUUGGUGGGCUUGCCCGCCAAUAGGACACUCCAAAACCUUUUGUAAUAGCAGUCAGCGUCAGAAAUAUUUAAUUAUUACAA